rnacentral:rRNA from 1 species
UACGUAGGGUGCAAGCGUUGUCCGGAAUUAUUGGGCGUAAAGAGCUCGUAGGCGGUCUGUCGCGUCGGCUGUGAAAACCUGGGGCUCAACUCCGGGCCUGCAGCCGAUACGGGCAGACUUGAAUUCGGUAGGGGAGACUGGAAUUCCUGGUGUAGCGGUGAAAUGCGCAGAUAUCAGGAAGAACACCCGUGGCGAAGGCGGCUCUCUGGGACGUGACUGACGCUGAGACGCGAAAGCGUGGGGAGCAAACAGG